rnacentral:rRNA from 1 species
CGGGUGAGUAACGCGUAAACAACCUGCCCUUCGGAUGGGGACAACAGCUGGAAACGGCUGCUAAUACCGAAUACGUUCUUUUCAUCGCAUGGUGAGAAGAAGAAAGGACGGCCUCUACACAAAGCGGUCGCCGAAGGAGGGGUUUGCGUCUGAUUAGCUAGUUGGAGGGGUAACGGCCCAACAAGGCGACGAUCAGUAGCCGGUCUGAGAGGAUGAACGGCCACAUUGGGACUGAGACACGGCCCAGACUCCUACGGGAGGCAGCAGCU